UCUCGUCAGCACACCCAAUAUAGUCAGUUCAACCAUCCCGUCAAUCCUAGCUUACUCAACCAGAUCAACCAGCAAGUCCAUCCCGGCAGCCUGUCUUACACGGGCAUCCAGUUAGCCUGGUCCAUUUGUUCCAUUCUUUUUAUUCUGCCUAUCCCUAUUAGUCCAACAUCAAGGCAUGUCCUGUCAAAUCUAACAUCCUGACCAUCUCAUCAGCCCGUCCAUCCCUUUGUCCAUCACAGCCAUUCCGGCCAUCCCGUCCAUUUUGGCCAACCUGGCUAGAUCGUCCAACAGGUCCAUCCAUGUCAUCCGUUUAGCCCGUCAACAUGUCCAUCCUAGCCAGGCUACCCAUCUUGGCCAUCCGUAUUAGCCGAGCAAUCCCGGCCAGUAGGUUCAUCUUGGCCAUCUUGUCAAUCGAUCCAUCCCGACCAACCCAAUCAUCCCUUCAGUCGGUCCAUCUCGUACGUUCUAGUCAUCGAGUCAGCCCAAUCCAUCCCAAUCAAGCCCUCCAUCCAUUUAGCCCAGCUAUAUCAUUAGUUUGUCCAUCCUGACCAUGUCUUCAACCUAACCAUCACAGCCAACUGGGUCAUCCUAUCCAUCCUGGCUUGCCUGUCUAAAUCGAUCAGUCAGUCCUUCUCAAUCAUCCCAUCAGCACAGCCAUCUUUGUCAGUCCGAUCAUCACAUUCAUCCCUACCAUCUAGGUCAUUCAUCCCUCCAUUACAAUUAACUCGUCCAUCCUAAGCAUCGACAUAAGCUCGACAUCCCAAUCAGCACGGUCAUGUCUUUUAAAAAAUCAAUAAAUUUUACAAGUGUCAUGAUACCAAGCUUGACAUUUUCAUUCAAAUGGCCAAAAAAACUAUGGUUUGGAACAGGUUAAAGUGCAACAUACCGGCCAUCAACUUCAAACAUACUUUUCUACCAUUUUUUUUCAGGUUAAUUUGCAUUUCCAGUUCUGGCGAAAUACACCUAGGAGUAAAACAUGAAUUUCUCCAAAGAUGCAAAUCAACAAAGAAGCAAUGUCAUACUUUUGUUCACCCGGGUGACAAACCAUGAAAAGGCCAUUAAAUUGUUUAUGGGAAUAUUCAAAUUGAGUCUGCAAAGUAGUUGGUUAAUCAAGUCAUCAAUGAUGAAUAGAGAUAUGUUAAGAACACACCUCUUUUCUCAUAUUUGGUUGCGUUCAUGUUUCGUGAAAUAUCUUUCAUAAGCUACUCAACAAGGUAGCGUCUAAGAGUAAUAAGAAAGCCUUUUUUUUCAUAUUCAGAUUUUCUUUCUGAGAAAAUCUUAACCAAACGGUUCCUAAAACAAGUAACCUAAUGAUAAUGGAAAAUACAUCCCUCCUACAAGUACAUAACACAGACUCAAAAGACUUCCUAGUAGCCAAGUGCCACCAAUUCAUUCCCCGAUGAUUAGUAAAUCUUCAAGAGUCACAAAUUAAAUGCCAUGAUGCCAUCAACAAACGUCAAUAUUCAAUCCCCAAAGCUGGCAGCCAGAAAACAUAUAUUACUUUUCUUUUUGGUGCUAUAUUCCAGUAUAUAAUUAUAGCUUAAGAAGCUACAAAAUUUAUUCGGCAUCACCAGAUCUACGAUACGGCAUGUAUCUGUGGUCCUUAGCAGCAUUCCUUCUCCUCCUUUUCUC